UGAACGCUGGCGGCAUGCCUUACACAUGCAAGUCGAACGGCAGCACGGGUGCUUGCACCUGGUGGCGAGUGGCGAACGGGUGAGUAAUACAUCGGAACAUGUCCUGUAGUGGGGGAUAGCCCGGCGAAAGCCGGAUUAAUACCGCAUACGAUCUACGGAUGAAAGCGGGGGACCUUCGGGCCUCGCGCUAUAGGGUUGGCCGAUGGCUGAUUAGCUAGUUGGUGGGGUAAAGGCCUACCAAGGCGACGAUCAGUAGCUGGUCUGAGAGGACGACCAGCCACACUGGGACUGAGACACGGCCCAGACUCCUACGGGAGGCAGCAGUGGGGAAUUUUGGACAAUGGGCGAAAGCCUGAUCCAGCAAUGCCGCGUGUGUGAAGAAGGCCUUCGGGUUGUAAAGCACUUUUGUCCGGAAAGAAAUCCUUGGCUCUAAUACAGUCGGGGGAUGACGGUACCGGAAGAAUAAGCACCGGCUAACUACGUGCCAGCAGCCGCGGUAAUACGUAGGGUGCGAGCGUUAAUCGGAAUUACUGGGCGUAAAGCGUGCGCAGGCGGUUUGCUAAGACCGAUGUGAAAUCCCCGGGCUCAACCUGGGAACUGCAUUGGUGACUGGCAGGCUAGAGUAUGGCAGAGGGGGGUAGAAUUCCACGUGUAGCAGUGAAAUGCGUAGAGAUGUGGAGGAAUACCGAUGGCGAAGGCAGCCCCCUGGGCCAAUACUGACGCUCAUGCACGAAAGCGUGGGGAGCAAACAGGAUUAGAUACCCUGGUAGUCCACGCCCUAAACGAUGUCAACUAGUUGUUGGGGAUUCAUUUCCUUAGUAACGUAGCUAACGCGUGAAGUUGACCGCCUGGGGAGCACGGUCGCAAGAUUAAAACUCAAAGGAAUUGACGGGGACCCGCACAAGCGGUGGAUGAUGUGGAUUAAUUCGAUGCAACGCGAAAAACCUUACCUACCCUUGACAUGGUCGGAAUCCCGCUGAGAGGUGGGAGUGCUCGAAAGAGAACCGGCGCACAGGUGCUGCAUGGCUGUCGUCAGCUCGUGUCGUGAGAUGUUGGGUUAAGUCCCGCAACGAGCGCAACCCUUGUCCUUAGUUGCUACGCAAGAGCACUCUAAGGAGACUGCCGGUGACAAACCGGAGGAAGGUGGGGAUGACGUCAAGUCCUCAUGGCCCUUAUGGGUAGGGCUUCACACGUCAUACAAUGGUCGGAACAGAGGGUUGCCAACCCGCGAGGGGGAGCUAAUCCCAGAAAACCGAUCGUAGUCCGGAUUGCACUCUGCAACUCGAGUGCAUGAAGCUGGAAUCGCUAGUAAUCGCGGAUCACGCAUGCCGCGGUGAAUACGUUCCCGGGUCUUGUACUCACCGCC
rnacentral:rRNA from 1 species